rnacentral:rRNA from 1 species
UACAGAGGGUGCAAGCGUUAAUCGGAAUUAUUGGGCGUAAAGAGCGCGUAGGUGGAUUGAUAAGUUGGAUGUGAAAUCCCUGGGCUUAACCUGGGAACUGCAUUCAAAACUGUUAGUCUAGAGUAUAGUAGAGGGAAGUGGAAUUUCCGGUGUAGCGGUGAAAUGCGUAGAUAUCGGAAAGAACAUCAGUGGCGAAGGCGACUUCCUGGACUAAUACUGACACUGAGGUGCGAAAGCGUGGGGAGCAAACAGG